GCUGACGAGUGGCGGACGGGUGAGUAAUGUCUGGGAAACUGCCUGAUGGAGGGGGAUAACUACUGGAAACGGUAGCUAAUACCGCAUAACGUCGCAAGACCAAAGAGGGGGACCUUCGGGCCUCUUGCCAUCGGAUGUGCCCAGAUGGGAUUAGCUAGUAGGUGGGGUAACGGCUCACCUAGGCGACGAUCCCUAGCUGGUCUGAGAGGAUGACCAGCCACACUGGAACUGAGACACGGUCCAGACUCCUACGGGAGGCAGCAGUGGGGAAUAUUGCACAAUGGGCGCAAGCCUGAUGCAGCCAUGCCGCGUGUAUGAAGAAGGCCUUCGGGUUGUAAAGUACUUUCAGCGGGGAGGAAGGGAGUAAAGUUAAUACCUUUGCUCAUUGACGUUACCCGCAGAAGAAGCACCGGCUAACUCCGUGCCAGCAGCCGCGGUAAUACGGAGGGUGCAAGCGUUAAUCGGAAUUACUGGGCGUAAAGCGCACGCAGGCGGUUUGUUAAGUCAGAUGUGAAAUCCCCGGGCUCAACCUGGGAACUGCAUCUGAUACUGGCAAGCUUGCAUGCCUGCAGGUCGACUCUAGAGGAUCCCCGGGUACCGAGCUC
rnacentral:ncRNA from 1 species